AAUAUAUAUAACUUUAACUUCUUUUUUUUUAAGUCUUCAUACGCUGCGAACGAUCAAAAUAUAUUUACAAAUUUACGACCAAUAUUUU
rnacentral:sRNA from 1 species